rnacentral:rRNA from 1 species
GACGAAGGUCCCAAGCGUUAUCCGGAUUUAUUGGGUUUAAAGGGUGCGUAGGCGGGCUAUUAAGUCAGUGGUGAAAUCUCCGAGCCUAACUCGGAAAUUGCCAUUGAUACUGAUGGUCUUGAGUACAUUUGAAGUGGGCGGAAUGUGUCAUGUAGCGGUGAAAUGCUUAGAUAUGACACAGAACACCGAUUGCGUAGGCAGCUCACUAAACUGUAACUGACGCUGAGGCACGAAAGCGUGGGGAGCAAACAGG